AUAAAGUAUAUUAAAACAUAGCCAAUUGCUGGCCUACAAACAUUAUAACAACGAUUAACUUAUAAACUGGCAUAAAAACCUAUUAUUCUACCAAUACUCAACUUUGCAAAUUAUGCCUCUUAAUCCUAAUGUACCAGCUGCAAUUGACAAAGUGUGCCUGUUUAUUGAGAAAGUUAUGACUGUAAUUUCCAUGAAAGAUGAUGCAAAUCUUUUUCCUCCCACCAGGGUUAAGAUAUUAAACGAUGAAACGAAGAUGGCAUAGCUUGGUAGCCAUCGAGAAAAUAUUAUGCCUUCUAAUCCUAAUAUACCAGCUGUAAUUGACAAAGUAGGACUGUUUAUUGAGAAAGUAGAGACUGUAAUUUAAGAAAGAUGAUGUAAAUCUUUUUCUUCCCACCAACAGAAUUUGGAAAAUUUAUCAUUCUGAACGCUUUCAUUUUGCGAUCAAGAAAAGAUAUCCAAAAUAUGAUAAUAGUGUAAUGGGAGAUAAUUUUUCUACCGAGCGGAUUAUCGGUGAUGGAAAUUGUCUCUUCAGAUGUAUAAGCAAAGAAGUUUGUGAUGACGAAUGCCACUACGAUUUUCUGAGACAGCAAUGCAUUCUCUUUAUGAGAAGCAAGGAUAUUGUUGAGCAGAUGGAUUGGUUUUUGGGAAAACCUGUUGACAAAUAUUUGGAGAGAACAGGCAUGGCUCAAAAUGCAACUUAUGGAACAGAGGUGGAGAUAGUUGCAUUGGCAACUAUGCUUCAAGCAAACAUAAUUAUUCACAGAGUUGGGCAGUACAGCGAAUACUUGUAUCUAAGAUACAAGAUACAAGAUCCUUUUGUAUCUUGUACUCAGUAUCUUUUUGACAUUUUUAAUAAGAUACUAGUGACUGU